GUAAGCAUAGUUUGACCAAAACAUUAGAUUGUGAUUCUAAAAACAGGAGUUUAAACCCCCUUGCUCACC
rnacentral:tRNA from 2 species